AACGAACGCUGGCGGCGUGGAUAAGACAUGCAAGUCGAACGCUGAUUUCAGGGUAGCAAUAUUCUGAAGUCGGAGUGGCGCAAGGGUGCGUAACACGUGGGUAUCUGCCGUGAAGUUGGGGAUAACUUGCUGAAAGGCGAGCUAAUACCGAAUGUGAAAAUUAGGAGGCAUCUCUCGAUUUUCAAAGUUGGGGACCGCAAGGCCUGACGCUUCACGAUGAGCCCGCGGCCUAUCAGCUAGUUGGUGAGGUAACGGCUCACCAAGGCUAAGACGGGUAGCUGGUCUGAGAGGACGACCAGCCUCACUGGAACUGAGACACGGUCCAGACACCUACGGGUGCAGCAGUCGAGAAUUUUUUCUCAAAUGGGCGAAAGCCUGAAGGAGCGGACGCCGCGUGGGGGAUGAAGGGCUUCGGCCCCGUAAACCCCUGUCAUUUGCGAACUAAACCUUUCCACUUAACACGUGGAGAGCUGAUUGUAG
rnacentral:rRNA from 1 species